UGAUCAUGGCUCAGAUUGAACGCUGGCGGCAGGCCUAACACAUGCAAGUCGAGCGGCAGCACAGAGGAACUUGUUCCUUGGGUGGCGAGCGGCGGACGGGUGAGUAAUGCCUGGGAAAUUGCCCGGUAGAGGGGGAUAACCAUUGGAAACGAUGGCUAAUACCGCAUAACCUCGUAAGAGCAAAGCAGGGGACCUUCGGGCCUUGCGCUACCGGAUAUGCCCAGGUGGGAUUAGCUAGUUGGUGAGGUAAGGGCUCACCAAGGCGACGAUCCCUAGCUGGUCUGAGAGGAUGAUCAGCCACACUGGAACUGAGACACGGUCCAGACUCCUACGGGAGGCAGCAGUGGGGAAUAUUGCACAAUGGGCGCAAGCCUGAUGCAGCCAUGCCGCGUGUAUGAAGAAGGCCUUCGGGUUGUAAA
rnacentral:rRNA from 1 species